AUUGAACGCUGGCGGAAUGCUUUACACAUGCAAGUCGAACGGCAGCACGGACUUCGGUCUGGUGGCGAGUGGCGAACGGGUGAGUAAUGUAUCGGAACGUGCCCAGUCGUGGGGGAUAACGUAGUGAAAAUUACGCUAAUACCGCAUACGAUCUAUGGAUGAAAGCGGGGGAUCGCAAGACCUCGCGCGAUUGGAGCGGCCGAUAUCAGAUUAGGUAGUUGGUGGGGUAAAGGCCCACCAAGCCAACGAUCUGUAGCUGGUCUGAGAGGACGACCAGCCACACGGGAACUGAGACACGGUCCAGACUCCUACGGGAGGCAGCAGUGGGGAAUUUUGGACAAUGGGCGAAAGCCUGAUCCAGCCAUCCCGCGUGCAGGAUGAAGGCCCUCGGGUUGUAAACUGCUUUUGUACAGAACGAAAAGGUUUCUACUAAUACUAGGAGCUCAUGACGGUACUGUAAGAAUAAGCACCGGCUAACUACGUGCCAGCCGCCGCAGUAA
rnacentral:rRNA from 1 species